rnacentral:rRNA from 1 species
UGGGGAAUAUUGGACAAUGGGCGAAAGCCUGAUCCAGCCAUGCCGCGUGUGUGAAGAAGGCCUUAUGGUUGUAAAGCACUUUAAGCGAGGAGGAGGGUACUGGUAUUAAUACUACCAGGUACUGGACGUUACUCGCAGAAUAAGCGCCGGCUAACUCUGUGCCAGCAGCCGCGGUAAUACAGAGGGUGCGAGCGUUAAUCGGAUUUACUGGGCGUAAAGCGUGCGUAGGCGGCUAAUUGAGUCGGAUGUGAAAUCCCCGAGCUUAACUUGGGAAUUGCAUUCGAUACUGGUUAGCUAGAGUGUGGGAGAGGAUGGUAGAAUUCCAGGUGUAGCGGUGAAAUGCGUAGAGAUCUGGAGGAAUACCGAUGGCGAAGGCAGCCAUCUGGCCUAACACUGACGCUGAGGUACGAAAGCAUGGGGAGCAAACAGG